rnacentral:lncRNA from 1 species
CAGAAACGAAGUUAUUUUGGGCGCGGAAGGAACUGACGUCGCAACUAGUCUACGACCAUUGCUGAACCGGAGCUUUUGAUAAAGGUUGCUGUGAUGCCCAGACUGGUUGUGAUUUUCGGUGCAACACUGCUUCUUGCAGCCCUAAUCUGGAAUGUCCAGGCGCAAUUCAUUGGAGGAUUUUUCCCUUGGUGGUGGUCAAGGUGGUGCAACGGAAUAUGGUGCCCCUUUGGAACUCGCUGUGUAUUUUCACCAUGCGUGCAGUUUCCUUGCAUUCCUGCUAGUUUCUGUGCUCCCUUUUUCUGGGGACUCGGAUAAUGAAGCGAAUACCAAACGGCAGACCGAUACGCUAUUCCGCUGUAAUUUGACCGAGAAACCACACACACACACAAAAAAAACAACAGUUAAAAUGAUUGUCGUGUAGGGGGAGGCUUCGGAUACAGUGGUGACUAUUGUGAUUUUAGACAUCGUAAGUGACUUUCGUUGAUGCCAGAGGAAAGUGGCAGCCCCCUCUAAUAUGGAACUUGGUAGGCA